rnacentral:sRNA from 1 species
GCCGGGCGCGGUGAUGCGCUCUUGUAACCCCAAAAGCUUGGGAGGCUGAGACAGGAGGAUUGCGAAUUCAAAGCCAGCCUCAGCAAAAAACAAGGCGCUAAGCAUCUCAGUGAGACCCUGUCUCUA